AAAUGCAGAUGACUCAUUGGGGCCUCCCGCUGUCUGGCUAGAUCACACAGAGCCAUAAAAUUAGCAUUCCGAUGGGGCAGAAGUGCUGGAGUUUGGGGGAAGAGACUUCAGAUUCCAAAGGUGUCUGCAAAAUCUCAUCUAAGGACCUUUCUGUGCCCGGGACAGCCGUACCAGGCAGGGGCCAGGA